UAUUUUAUUUAUGGUGAGUGUGUGUGUGCAUAUACAAUGUGUAUACACACACACACACACACACACACACACACACACACACACACACACUUGU
ensembl:miRNA predicted gene, 24387